rnacentral:lncRNA from 1 species
ACUUUCCUAUCUUCAUCCUUCUUCGUUAUUUUAUAACAUUCAUCGUCUUCCUAAUUUGUCAUAUUUAUCUUUUUUACCUAGGUUUUCUUAGUAUUAUUCCUCUUUUUCACAUUUUCAUAUUUUGUCAGCUCUAUCUUUUAAUUUCUUUCCUCAUCUUCAAAGAAUUUGUAGUUAUAUUUUCCGAGUUUUUCUUUAUCAAAUUUAUCUUCUCUUUCCUGACCUUCUUUUUCUUUCAUUUUUUUUCAUAUUUUCCUUCAUUGUGUUAGACUUCAACUUCGUCUUCUUUAAUUUAUUUUUCUUCUUUGAAUUCUUCUUGUUCUUUCUAUUUUUCGUCAUCUUCUUUUACUAAUUUACAUUUUUUCUAUCAUUCCUACUUAUUUCAUCUAUGCCAUCAUCCUCUUCUAAUUCUUCUUCAUUUGCUUCCGUUUCUUUAUCCUUCAAUUUUCUUCUUCCUCAUAAGAUGCCUUUUUUCAUCAUCUUUGACUUCCUUUUACUAUCUUCGUAUUCCUAAACUUCUUCUCUUAUUUUUUUUCCUAUUUCUACUAUUUUUCGUUUUUUUUUCUCUUAUUUAAAUUCUUAUACUACAUCUUCACCUUCUUCUAAUUCAUUGUAUUUGUCUUAUUGGUGUUCUUAUUCUUUUGGUUUUUCUUAGUCUCCUUCCUCAUCUUUACAUUCUCUUAUUUUAUAGUUUUAUUUUUCAGUUUCUUUCUUCAUUUUUAAAGUCUUUAUCCUAAUAUUUUUCAGAUUUUAAUUAAUCUGUUCUACCAAAUAUCUACAUUGUCUUCUUAUACUUCUUUCAACUCCUCUUAUCUUCUUAUCUUUAUUACCUUUCGUUUUUCGUGUUAUCCAUAGUUUUUGUAAUUAAUCGUAUUUGUCUUCGUCUUUAAUCUUCUACUUUUUCAUAGCAGCCUUCUCAUCUUCAUUUUCUCAUACAUUAUCUUCUUAAUCUUUUGCUCUCCUUCCUCAUCUUCAACGUCUUUAUCCUCGUAUUUUUUUUUAUCAUUUUGUUCUUCUUCUUCAUACUCUUAUUUAUCUUCCUUUGCGUACAUCUAUAUACUUCUAUACGAUUGCUACAUAUUUUAAUUUUUUAGCAGUAGUCAUCUUUCUGCAUUUUAUUUUAUAUCGAAAUAACAGAGUUAAGUGGAAGAUAUUUAUAUGCAGUGAUGUAAAAUAAGUUAAAAAGAAUCAAACAUAAUAUCAUCUAUCUCUUGCAUUAAAUUACACACCAAAGUAACAAAUAGCUAAACAAAAGAUAUUUAUAUACAAUGAUGUAAAAUAACUUAAAAACAUAUACUAACUACUUUACUACCUACCAACAGCAACAUCAUCCUCAUCAUUAAUCCCUGAGACUCGUCUCCCUCUGCACCUUAUUAAAGAAAAUUAUAUAUAAUUGCUUAACUAUUCAAAUAACUAUAACUUUUUAACUGAUGCUUAACUACAGAGGAUUUCUUAAUUAGAUUUUCGUACUAAACCAACCAUAUUUUAAAGGAUAAAUCCAUGAGAUCAUAGUCUAAAGCUUUAACCCAAACAUAUUUUGAUGGAUUUGAGUCUCAUGAUUGACCAUUCUGCAGUUGAUAGAUAUGUAACAAAAAUCAUGAUCUCCAAUCAACAGUCAUCCCAAUCCAUCGCCUACUCCAAAUUAAAUUUAUCCUCCAAAUGCCAAACGCAUAUGUAAAAGUUGGACCACAUAUUUGUCUACAAUACUACGAAAAGAGGACUACUCAUAUUAACUCUAGAACAAAAAACGAAAAACUACCAUGUAGUGAAUUUGAGAGGAAAAAAUGUAUUUAUAAAAAAGAGAAGAUGAUGAGGAUUAUGGACCUUAUGGUUGUGAUCUUCAUGAUUAUAUACGGAAUAGUUUAUGAUCUGUGAAACGUACACAGUGAUCUCUGAAAAAUCACAUAGAUUUUUUUUAAAAUAAGAAACAGAGAAUUUACCAACAUGUAUUAGUUGAAUAGAAAGAGCACAUAUAAAACAAAUUAAAACUAAAAAAAGAAAAGAGUGAAAAGAACAACAGAGACGAUAACUUUUCAAAAGUUCUGCACCAGACGACCCAUUACAUACACAAUCCUCAAAACCAUGAUUGUUGUGACCUAAAAAAAUAUAGAAUGACAAAAUCAGAACUAUAAAACAACGAACAUAACAAAUACAAACAUAUAUAUACACACAAACACUAUUGAUGAGCAAGUAAUUAAGGAAACUCAGUUAAACCCUAGAAUAAAAACAAAAAACUAACACAUGAAUAUGAGACGGAAACAAAGUAUUUAUAAGAAAAGAUUUCUAGGGUUUGGUGGGGGUUUUUUUUACGAUAAUUCUGUAGGCAUGAAUAUCUUUUUAUUUUUUUUAUUAUGACACAGCUCUAGAAAUUGAUUUUCAUGAUUAUAAGAUCCUAUUUUCUUUUUUCAAAAAAAAAAAUAAUUUAGCAAUAAUUGCAAGAUAGAUCUGAUAUCAUGGUAAUAAAUCUUAUAUGUUAAGUAUCAUAAAAGCGUAUUUUUUUUUCUAUAAAAACUUGAUAAACGUAUAUUCAAUUUUAUCAUUCAAUUUCUCCAAAGAUUUAAUUAUUUUAGAUUAGAAAAACGUUUUUUGAUAAUGUAUAAAAUAGUUAAGAAGAAUCUGCUACAAAUAAAAUUAAGAUCUAGAUAACUAACCAACACAUUUAACCUUUUUUUUGUAAAACAAUUAGUAGGUUAAUAUAUUAUCCAUAAAAAAUAUGGGUUUGGGCCUUAUUCUCUGCAGAUCUAAUCAGAAUAAAAUAUAAAUAAUUAAAUAAAUCAACCAAUCAAAUUAUAACAUAAGUUGACCAAUCAGAGUCUCUUAUUCUGAUUAAUCAAAACGACACUAAAAUAUGUGCAUUGAACCACAUCAUAAUUCACUUAUAAUAUAUUUUUAAAAGAGCUAUAAAAAUCUAACAAAAUUUUGCAAAAAUUAGGUGGAUUCGGUGCGCUUGCUUGCACUCUUAGAGCAUCUUCAAGAGAUACCUUAUAACUUCAAAUAUAAUUUUUUAUAUCCUCCAAGAGAUACCUUAAAACCUCAAAUUUUGAGGUAUUGAACAGUGACACAUUAUAUUUGAGGUAUCAAUGUUCAAUACCUCAAAUUUGACGUGUCAUCUUUUUUAUUUGCAUUUCAGUCUUUUCAGUUAUAUGCUUUAAAAUUAUUCAUAAUAACUUUUGUUUUUAUCAUUUCAACUCUCCUAAUUUAAUAUCUUAUUAAUAUUUUAUUUUUAUUUUUAUAAAUAAAUUAUAUAUAUACAUAUAAAAUUUUAAAAGAUAAUUCAAAAUAAAAGUAAUAAUGACAAAUAGUAAAAUAAUACAUAACAUUAAAAAAUAAAUAUAUAACAACAAUAUUACAUAAAAGCAAAUUUUAUACAAACUAAAAUAACACAAAAUAUAAACUUACAUGAACAUAUAAAUAUUACACAAAUAAAAAUACUACAACAAAACUAAUAUUCAGGUAAAUUAGAUCCUGAACCUCCAAAAUCGCCAAAAAAUUGCCCAUACAAAUUUGGUGCAACUGAAGGUGGGGGUUGUUGUUGUUGUUGUUGUUCUUGAGUUUUUUUGGAUGAUUCUUACUUGCUCGGAUCGAAGAAACUCACGAGUAUUACUAUUAGCAAUAGAGUCUAAUUCUGUUACUAAUUUUAUAUUUUCUUCUCACAUUUCUUUUAAGACUAAUUUCUUUGCUUGAUUUUGUAUUCGCAAUUGAGCUAUCUCAUAAUCUUUAUCCCCUCUUGAUGCACUUUCUUUCAAGAAAUCAAGAAUUUCUUCAUUUGAUGAAACUAAAGUGUUGACAGAUGAAUUAUUACCUUCAGCAAUCUUCCUUUUUAGUUUUGCUUUCUUUGAUCCAAUAGGACGUUGAGAAGAAUUUGAUCCACCAUCAUUGCAACUUAAAUUGAUUGAAAAUGAAAACAUUCCAGGAGAUUGUGAUGUUGGAGAGACAGCAAUAUCGCUCCGAUUAGAGACGCAAGAUCAACGCCAGAUGCAACAGUUGAGAUGACAAUAAAUGAACAUACUCGAUUUCAACCAUUUUUAGCUCGUAAUCUGCAGAUUAAAAAUAAAAAAGCUCAUUUAUCACUUCGAAAUGCUUUAAUUGAUCAUAUAUGGGAGCAUUAUGGUAGUAGUUUUAUUGAAUAAAUUGAUAUUUUAUUUGUAAUUUAUGAUUUAGUUUGUGUAUUUAAUUAUUAUUUAUAUAUAAUGUUAUAUUAAAGUUGUAUUAUUUAAUAUUGUCUAUAAUAUUUUAAUAUGUAUUUUUAUAGUUAUUUAUCAAAGUUUUUAUGAUAUUAGUUAAUUAAUUAUAAAUAGUAAGGACUAAAGUGCAAAGUAUAAUAUUUUUAAGGUAUUAUUUUAAAGUUUAUCAUUUGAGAGCAUCACUCUCAAACCUCAAAUAUAAGGUUUCUCACACCUUAAAAAUACAGUAUCUCUUGGAGAUGCUCUUAGGCACUAGGCGAAUGCUAGCACAAUGGCAAAUCUCAAAAGCACAAUAUAUAUAUAUAUAUAUAUAUAUAUUUCUGUUUUUGACAGAUAAAUUUGCUUUCAUUCAUUGCUUCCUAAAAUUUUUUUUUUUUUUUUCAUUCAUUCGGUCUUCCACAACUUUCACUUAUGCAAUCAAACCGAAUUAAAACAAAUAUAUAUACUGACACAACUGAAUGCUAAAAAAAAAUGAAGCAUGCUUCUCUACACUUCAUUCCCAUAAAAAUCAAUGUUAACAGGUAAAUACAUAUUGACUCUUCAAAGAAAAAUUAUAUGAUAGUUUUACGAUUGGAGUGAUAGACUAGGAAAAAUCAAGACAAAAGCUCACCGAAACAGUAAAAUGAUACUAUGCUUGGUCACUAUAAUCCUUCAAAUGUGAGGUCUAAUAUGGCUCUUUUUAUGAGAAAAAGAAAUUGUUUAGUGUUGCCUAUGGUCAAUCGCAAGCCCUAUCAAGGAUCUACGUUUCAUAUUGUUCAAGAAGGUUGCACUGUGCGUUGAGAAAUUGAUAAUGUGGCUUACACAUGGUUUUAUCAUGCUAUGCCCAAAUAGCAUUUUCCUUCACACCAAACCGGUCUAGAAUGAAUAGUUUUCUGAAAUGAAAUUAAAACACACAGCAAUCUGAUACUAGUUAACCACCUAAAUGUCCAUCACGGACAUCCAACGCCUCAUGUCUCAUCUUGAAGAAGUAGCAAUUCGGUUCCAAGCAAGAGAUAGAAAUGGUGUGGCUGAUAGAGUAGCAAAGGAAGCUCUUUCCUUAGUGGAUUAUGCUCCUAAGUUGUAUUCUAUUGUGCCAAAUUGGGUAUUACCACAUGUUCAG